ensembl:lncRNA
UCCUGGUUUAUUGGACAGAUAGGGAACUAUAAAUGAUGAUGGAAUUAAGAAUAAUUUCCUGAAGGGGUUUGGACAAUUUAUUACUUUACAGGGCUAUCAGGAGGAUUUAAGAUGGGUAAAGUAAAAUAAAAAGUUUCAGUUAAAUGAAUCAAAUUCCAUGGUUGAAGUUUGCAAUGAUCUCUUCCCUCCUGGCCCCCAAACACAGGAGUGACUGUGACAAAGGCUAACUGAGGGACAUAAGAAAUUAGGUCCCACUGUCUCUGUUAAUAUACCCGAGGGACAGAAGUAGUUUCUUUAUUCCCCGCGUAUAGGAAAAUACCAUUCCAAGUAACGGUUAAAAAGAACAUAUAAGCAGCUAAAACUCGAUGGAAACACUUUAUGUAAAAAAAUAUAUACAUUCAUAUGCAAGAAAGAAAGUCUAAUGGUUACUAAAUUGUUAUAAAUAACGAAAAACUCUAAACAAAUCAUACCCAAAUUACCUUAGAAUUUCCCUGUGGGAAAUACCAAAUGUAUGAAAAUCCUUAAUCAUUUAAAGACACCAGGAUUAAAAUGAAUCAUCCAUAUUCUGAAAAUACAAUGCAGAGAUGGUUAAAAAGAAAUUUGUAAAAUUUGUGCUCCUUUAUGUGCUGCACCACCAAAUCUACACAUUUUAGUAGUGUUUAUAUUUGGCAAUUAUCUCUAAAAUCCAUAUUGUUCAGACAAAAGGAAUGCAGGUACAUUACAGUAUAUAAUGACAGUUGUACAUAAUGCUUUAUGUAUGAGCCGCAGUGGCUCAGACCUGUAAUCCCAGAACUUUGGGAGGCUGAGGUGGGUGGAUCACCUGAGGUCAGGAGUUCAAGACCAGCCUGGCCAACAUGGUGAAACCCCAUCUCUACUACAAAUAUAAAAACCAGCAGCGCGCGGUGGCAGGCACCUGUAAUCCCAGCUACUUGGGAGGCUGAGGCAGGAGAAUCACUGAACCUGGGAGGUAGGGGUUGCAAUGAGCCAAGAUUGUGCCACUGCUCUCCAGCCUGGGUGACAGAGCGAGACUCCCUCUCAAAAGAAUGAAUGAAUGAAUGAAUGAUUUACAUCUUUAAAACUUCAAUUGUCUAUAAAUAUAGAUCUCAAGUCUGCUAAUAAGAAAACUAUACACCUGACACUAUCUGGAAUAGUCAGGUCUUGUGUACACCUAUUAUAGACUUAUUUAAAAAAAAUUUGUCAGGCGCAGUGGCUCACAUCUGUAAUCCCAGUACUUUGGGAGGCCGGGGUGGGCAAAUCACCUGAGGUCAGGAGAACAGCCUGGCCAACAUGGUGAAACCCUAUCUCUAAAAAUACAAAAAUUAGCCAGGCAUGGUGGCACGUGCCUGUAAUCCCAGCUACUUGGGAGGGAGGCUGAGGCAGGAGAAUCGCUUGAACCUGGGAGGCAGAGGUUGUGGUGAGCCAAGGCAGAGGUUGUGGUGAGCCAAGGUUGUGCCACUCCAGCCUGGGUGCCACAGCGAGACUCUCUCUCAAAAAAAAAAAAAAGUACUUUACUGCUUAAUUUUCCAACUACAAACCAUCAUUUAGUUUGUCAUUCCGUAGGAAAUUAGGGAUUUAUUCAUUUAAAAUUCAUUAAAAUUUCACCAUUUCUUUUGUAGCCUUGCUCCCUGUUUUCUAUGAGGAGAUGGAGCCGGCCCUGACCACAGCUACAAUUUUAACUGAGAAGAGAAGGAAGGGAAAGAGCAGAGAGGCUGGGCACAGUGGCUUACACCUGCAAUCCCAGCACUUCAGGAGGCCAAGGUGGGAGGAUCACUUGAGGCAAGGAGUCCAAGACCAGCCUGGGCAACAUAGUGAGACACUAUCUGUACAAAAAAAAUGAAAAUCUAGCUGGGAGUGGUAGCGUGGACCUGCAGUCCCAUCUACUUGGGAUACUGAGGCAGGAAGAUUGCUUGAGCCCGGGAGGUCGAGACUGCAGUGAGCAGUGUUGGUACCACUAGGCGACGAAGGGGUGGCACUUCAGCCUGGGCAACAGAGCAAGACCCUGUAUCAAAAAAAAAAAA